rnacentral:rRNA from 1 species
GACGAACCGUGCGAACGUUGUUCGGAAUCACUGGGCAUAAAGGGCGCGUAGGCGGCUUAUAAAGUCGGUGGUGAAAUCCGGCAGCUUAACUGUCGAAGUGCCUCUGAUACUGAUGAGCUCGAGGGAGGUAGGGGUGUGCGGAACUUCCGGUGGAGCGGUGAAAUGCGUUGAUAUCGGAAGGAACGCCGGUGGCGAAAGCGGCGCACUGGACCUCUUCUGACGCUGAGGCGCGAAAGCUAGGGGAGCAAACGGG